GAUGAGCGCUGGCGGCGUGCCUAAUACAUGCAAGUCGAGCGAACAGACGAGGAGCUUGCUCCUCUGACGUUAGCGGCGGACGGGUGAGUAACACGUGGAUAACCUACCUAUAAGACUGGGAUAACUUCGGGAAACCGGAGCUAAUACCGGAUAAUAUAUUGAACCGCAUGGUUCAAUAGUGAAAGACGGUUUUGCUGUCACUUAUAGAUGGAUCCGCGCCGCAUUAGCUAGUUGGUAAGGUAACGGCUUACCAAGGCGACGAUGCGUAGCCGACCUGAGAGGGUGAUCGGCCACACUGGAACUGAGACACGGUCCAGACUCCUACGGGAGGCAGCAGUAGGGAAUCUUCCGCAAUGGGCGAAAGCCUGACGGAGCAACGCCGCGUGAGUGAUGAAGGUCUUCGGAUCGUAAAACUCUGUUAUUAGGGAAGAACAAAUGUGUAAGUAACUAUGCACGUCUUGACGGUACCUAAUCAGAAAGCCACGGCUAACUACGU
rnacentral:rRNA from 1 species